rnacentral:rRNA from 1 species
AGACUGUCUGCUUCUAAUAGUCCGCCUAUAUGUCGGACAGGUACUCUG